rnacentral:tRNA from 1 species
GGGUCAGUGGCCCAAUGGUAGAGCUCCCGCUUCGUACGCGGGAAGACUUAGGUUCGAUUCCCGGCUGCUUA